UGCUAUUAUUGCAGCCGCAUCAGCAUCUUGCGAAUAUACUGUUCAGGAACAGCCUUCAAAUGUGUCGAUGGUUAUACGUUCGACAAUAGAUAUAUAAUUUUUUUUAUUUUUUCAAAUACUUUCAAAUAUCUUUGUUUUUCAUUUACUUCAAGCAAAUGACAUUUCGUGACCAGGAAUCGGUAAAUAGUCAUUUACCAAAUUCGUGCGAAUACGCAUUUGAUGUUAGAUUUCAAUGGUUUGGAAUUAAACAGGUUCUUAACUUAACCAUGAAUUUUUUGGCAGACAGGAAAUUUACCAGUCCAUAUUGUAUCGAUCCAAACGAGAUAAACACUUUUGUUUACAAGAUAAAUAGAGAACGGAAGGAAAAGACUAUAAUGAUUACCAAUGAAGAUUUUAGUGGUUUUCUCAUGACCGGACCGAGAUCGAUGUAUUGUGAAAAUUUUUAUUACGUUUAUUAGAACUGAACUGAAACUGUAUGUGGUGGAUUAUUUUUUUAUAUAUAUAACAAUAAUUAUGUGUUGGGGAUCCAUUUUAGCUGCUGCCUUGAGGAGUAAAUAUUCGUCCAGGAAACAUCAACAAAAAAAGAAGCGUGACAAAAGUCAAGUAAAGAAUAAACGGACUAAAUCUCAUCGGCGGACAACACCUC
rnacentral:lncRNA from 1 species